CCUACGGGAGGCAGCAGUGGGGAAUAUUGCACAAUGGGGGAAACCCUGAUGCAGCGACGCCGCGUGAGUGAAGAAGUAUUUCGGUACGUAAAGCUCUAUCAGCAGGGAAGAAAAUGACGGUACCUGACUAAGAAGCCACGGCGAACUACGUGCCAGCAGCCGCGGUAAUACGUAGGGGGCACGCGUUAUCCGGAUUUUCUGGGUGUAAAGGGAGCGUAGACGGUAGGUCAAGUCUGGAGUGAAAUCCUAUGGCUUAACCAUGGAACUGCUUUGGAAACUGUGCAGCUGGAGUGCAGGAGAGGUAAGCGGAAUUCCUAGUGUAGCGGUGAAAUGCGUAGAUAUUAGGAAGAACACCAGUUGCGAAGGCAGCUUACUGGACCAUAACUGACGUUGAGGCACGAAAGCGUGGGGAGCAAACAGGAUUAGAUACCCGAGUAGUC
rnacentral:rRNA from 1 species